UGAGGUGCAAGUGGCACCACUCAGUGAGCUUCGGCAGGGGUUAGGCGUUUGGGUUAAAACCUUUCACACAAAAUAGGAGGGGUGAAGCAAAACUUUGGUGGGGGUGAACACUUUAUUAAAGGGGUUAGAGAGAUUCUAGGGGGUUAGAGAGAUUCUAGGGGGUUAGAGAGAUUCUAGGGGUUAGAGAGAUUCUAGGGGGUUAGAGAGAUUCUAGGGGGUUAGAGAGAUUCUAGGGGGUUAGAGAGAUUCUAGGGGGUUAGAGAGAUUCUAG